UGCCAGCCGCCGCGGUAAUACGAACCGGACAAACGUUAUUCGGAAUCACUGGGCUUAAAGAGUACGUAGGCGGCUUUGUAGGUUGGGUGUGAAAUCCCACGGCUCAACCGUGGAACUGCGCUCAAAACCACAAGGCUUGAGGGAGACAGGGGUAAGCGGAACUGAUGGUGGAGCGGUGAAAUGCGUUGAUAUCAUCAGGAACACCGGUGGCGAAGGCGGCUUACUGGGUCUCUUCUGACGCUGAGGUACGAAAGCUAGGGUAGCGAACGGGAUUAGAUA
rnacentral:rRNA from 1 species